CGAUACUUGUGUUGGUGGGAGAGAGCAAGUACCCAGUGAAAUACUCUAGGUGCACACAAGUUAGCCCGGAUACCACCGUUAUUAAAAAAAAGGUACGUACCACAUGGAUGGGCAACAAGAAAAAUAGUUGAAGGAGUAAGAACAAGUUGAUGGUUAUAUUAAGUGUAGGGAAAUCUUCAUGAUGACAAGCCUAAAUUAAUCAAGAUAAUUUUAAUUGGGGUUACCACUAGUUAAAAAUAAAAAACAUAGUACGCAUUUUAGCUCUCUGACAGUAUCAAGGCCCGAUGAACACUCAAUUUUUUAUGAACAAUCAAGCUUAAAAAAUUUAAAGGCCUACAAAUAGGAGAGAACGCAAAGGAUAAGCAGCAGGAAUUACUCAACACCUCGUUAAGGCGCUCAGCAUCCUGCAUCUUCUGCAGCAUCCAACGAUCAACCAACGUUUUAUUUUCUGCCUCAGCAUUGUUUGCUCUCAGAGUCAUUGCUUCAAGCUGUGCUUUAAGGUCCUCGUGCUCACCCAUAAUCAAUUCCAAAGCUUUAGUCUUUUCUGUGAGAAGUUCAUUGUGCUUUAAGCUCCUGGUGCUCACCCAUAAUCAAUUCCAAAGCUUUAGUCUUUUCUCUGAGAAGUUCAGUUAAACGAGAACAUUCGUCCCUGCAGCACACCCAUCAAAGAACGAAUAGAGCAGUUAAACUCCAUCCGGGCAUCCAAAGUAAACUUGCUGAGCUCAUCUUAGGAUAUCCAAAGUAAAGUUUAUUUGUUAAAUUGGGAAACCAAGAUACUUGUUAUAAUCUAAAACAUGAAGGUUCUUUCAGAAGCUUGAAACAGAAUCAGAA
rnacentral:lncRNA from 1 species